AGGAGAGAAGGGCAAUCCAGGCAUGCCUGGGGAACCGGGACCAAGGGGCCAUCCUGGAGAAUUGGGACCUCGGGGACCCGCUGGACCACCGGGUGCCAAGGGACAGGAAGGUGCACAUGGG